rnacentral:rRNA from 1 species
GACGAACGCUGGCGGCGCGCUUAACACAUGCAAGUCGAACGGAAAGGCCCUGCUUUUGUGGGGUGCUCGAGUGGCGAACGGGUGAGUAACACGUGAGUAACCUGCCCUUGACUUUGGGAUAACUUCAGGAAACUGGGGCUAAUACCGGAUAGGAGCUCCUGCUGCAUGGUGGGGGUUGGAAAGUUUCGGCGGUUGGGGAUGGACUCGCGGCUUAUCAGCUUGUUGGUGGGGUAGUGGCUUACCAAGGCUUUGACGGGUAGCCGGCCUGAGAGGGUGACCGGCCACAUUGGGACUGAGAUACGGCCCAGACUCCUACGGGAGGCAGCAGUGGGGAAUAUUGCACAAUGGGCGGAAGCCUGAUGCAGCAACGCCGCGUGCGGGAUGACGGCCUUCGGGUUGUAAACCGCUUUCGCCUGUGACGAAGCGUGAAUGACGGUAAUGGGUAAAGAAGCACCGGCUAACUACGUGCCAGCAGCCGCGGUGAUACGUAGGGUGCGAGCGUUGUCCGGAUUUAUUGGGCGUAAAGGGCUCGUAGGUGGUUGAUCGCGUCGGAAGUGUAAUCUUGGGGCUUAACCCUGAGCGUGCUUUCGAUACGGGUUGACUUGAGGAAGGUAGGGGAGAAUGGAAUUCCUGGUGGAGCGGUGGAAUGCGCAGAUAUCAGGAGGAACACCAGUGGCGAAGGCGGUUCUCUGGGCCUUUCCUGACGCUGAGGAGCGAAAGCGUGGGGAGCGAACAGGCUUAGAUACCCUGGUAGUCCACGCUGUAAACGGUGGGUACUAGGUGUGGGGUCCAUUCCACGGGUUCCGUGCCGUAGCUAACGCUUUAAGUACCCCGCCUGGGGAGUACGGCCGCAAGGCUAAAACUCAAAGGAAUUGACGGGGCCCCGCACAAGCGGCGGAGCAUGCGGAUUAAUUCGAUGCAACGCGUAGAACCUUACCUGGGUUUGACAUGGAUCGGGAGUGCUCAGAGAUGGGUGUGCCUCUUUUGGGGUCGGUUCACAGGUGGUGCAUGGCUGUCGUCAGCUCGUGUCGUGAGAUGUUGGGUUAAGUCCCGCAACGAGCGCAACCCUUGUUCACUGUUGCCAGCACGUUAUGGUGGGGACUCAGUGGAGACCGCCGGGGUCAACUCGGAGGAAGGUGGGGAUGACGUCAAGUCAUCAUGCCCCUUAUGUCCAGGGCUUCACGCAUGCUACAAUGGCUGGUACAGAGAGUGGCGAGCCUGUGAGGGUGAGCGAAUCUCGGAAAGCCGGUCUCAGUUCGGAUUGGGGUCUGCAACUCGACCUCAUGAAGUCGGAGUCGCUAGUAAUCGCAGAUCAGCAACGCUGCGGUGAAUACGUUCCCGGGGCU